AUUAUGAAAGCAAAAAAUUAUGGCGGUAUUUUAAGCUUUUCAGAGGAAUUUGCUCUUUAAUGGAUAAAACACCUAAAUCUUACUUAAAUUUGUUAAUUCAAUUUGUAUACCACUAUAAAAACAAUUUAUAACUUUAAUUGUUUAAAUUUAUUAAAUUAAAAUAUAUUAAGUCAAGGUGCAGUAAAAAUUUAAGAAUGAAGUGAAUUACAUUACUCUUUAGAGAAAUAAAUUUAAAAUAAUAUUUAGGAUUUGAAAGUAAAAUUAAAAUAAAAUGUUGGUUUGAAUUAAGCUCUAAAAUAUGUACACAUCGCC
rnacentral:rRNA from 1 species